rnacentral:rRNA from 1 species
UACGAAGGGAGCUAGCGUUGUUCGGAAUUACUGGGCGUAAAGGGUGCGUAGGCGGUUUAAUCAGUCAGAUGUGAAAGCCCUGGGCUCAACCUAGGAACUGCGUUUGAUACUGUUAAGCUAGAAUUCGGAAGAGGUGAGUGGAAUUCCCAGUGUAGAGGUGAAAUUCGUAGAUAUUGGGAAGAACACCGGUGGCGAAGGCGGCUCACUGGUCCGACAUUGACGCUGAGGCACGAAAGCGUGGGGAGCAAACAGG